rnacentral:piRNA from 1 species
UGCUCAGGAACGAUGUGCAUCAUUAGCUCA